UGAGCAAUCUGCCCUUCUCAUCGGAAUAAGCGUUGGAAACGACGUCUAAUGCCGAAUACGACCUCCUUUCGCAUGAUCGGAGGUGGAAAGCUCCGGCGGAGAAGGAUGAGCUCGCGGCCUGUCAGCUAGUUGGUGUGGGUAAUGGCCCACCAAGGCGACGACGGGUAGCCGGCCUGAGAGGGUGACCCGGCCACACUGGGACUGAGACACGGCCCAGACCUCCGUACGGGAGCAG
rnacentral:rRNA from 1 species